rnacentral:rRNA from 1 species
GGAUGAACGCUGGCGGCGUGCCUAAUACAUGCAAGUCGAGCGAACAGACGAGGAGCUUGCUCCUCUGACGUUAGCGGCGGACGGGUGAGUAACACGUGGAUAACCUACCUAUAAGACUGGGAUAACUUCGGGAAACCGGAGCUAAUACCGGAUAAUAUAUUGAACCGCAUGGUUCAAUAGUGAAAGACGGUUUUGCUGUCACUUAUAGAUGGAUCCGCGCCGCAUUAGCUAGUUGGUAAGGUAACGGCUUACCAAGGCAACGAUGCGUAGCCGACCUGAGAGGGUGAUCGGCCACACUGGAACUGAGACACGGUCCAGACUCCUACGGGAGGCAGCAGUAGGGAAUCUUCCGCAACGGGCGAAAGCCUGACGGAGCAACGCCGCGUGAGUGAUGAAGGUCUUCGGAUCGUAAAACUCUGUUAUUAGGGAAGAACAAAUGUGUAAGUAACUAUGCACGUCUUGACGGUACCUAAUCAGAAAGCCACGGCUAACUACGUG